GGCUUCAUAGCUCAGUUGGUAGAGCAUCGCACCGGCAUCACGGAGGUCAUGGGUUCGAUUCCCGUUGAAGCCU
rnacentral:tRNA from 1 species